rnacentral:rRNA from 1 species
UACGAAGGGGGCUAGCGUUGCUCGGAAUCACUGGGCGUAAAGGGUGCGUAGGCGGGUCUUUUAAGUCAGGGGUGAAAUCCUGGAGCUCAACUCCAGAACUGCCUUUGAUACUGAAGAUCUUGAGUUCGGGAGAGGUGAGUGGAACUGCGAGUGUAGAGGUGAAAUUCGUAGAUAUUCGCAAGAACACCAGUGGCGAAGGCGCUCACUGGCCCGAUACUGACGCUGAGGCACGAAAGCCAGGGGAGCGAACGGG